UAAAAAAUUCACUUAUUUUGGGCUUUUGCAAAAUCGGGUUACAUUUUUCGUUUUUGCAGAUUCGGUCCGCUUUUUCAGCAAACUGACCAAAAUACCCUUAUUACUUUUUCUCUUUCCUCUUUCUCUCUCCUCUUCAUUUCUGUCGUUCUUUUUUUUUUCUCGCCGUAAAAAAAAGAGGCGGACCGGACAGUCGCCUUCUUCUUCACCGCCGCCUCCCUCCUCACCCUCCUCCUUCACCGUCGCCUCCCUCCUCACCCUCCUCUCCACCGCUCGCGACCCCCUCCUCCUCUCCCCCGCCGCCGCCGCCGCCGCCGAGCCCACC
rnacentral:lncRNA from 1 species